UACAGAGGGUGCGAGCGUUGUUCGGAAUUACUGGGCGUAAAGCGCGCGCAGGCGGCUUUUUAAGUCUGCUGGUGAAAUGCCGGGGCUCAACCCCGUGCCCGCCACAGAUACUGGGAGGCUGGAGACAUGUAGAGGCAAGCGGAAUUCCGGGUGUAGCGGUGGAAUGCGUAGAGAUCCGGAAGAACACCGGAGGCGAAGGCGGCUUGCUGGGCAUGGUCUGACGCUGAGGCGCGAAAGCGUGGGGAGCGAACAGG
rnacentral:rRNA from 1 species